rnacentral:rRNA from 1 species
AAUGGGGGAAACCCUGACGCAGCAACGCCGCGUGAGUGACGAAGGCCUUCGGGUUGUAAAGCUCUUUUAGCUGGGAAAAAACAAAUGAUGGUACCAGCAGAAAAAGCACCGGCUAACUCUGUGCCAGCAGCCGCGGUAAUACAGAGGGUGCAAGCGUUAUUCGGAAUUACUGGGCGUAAAGGGCGCGUAGGCGGUUUGAUAAGUCUGGUGUGAAAUCCCUGGACUCAAUUCAGGAAUUGCAUUGGAUACUGUCAGGCUAGAGUACAGGAGAGGAGAGUGGAAUUCCUGGUGUAGAGGUGAAAUUCGUAGAUAUCAGGAGGAACAACAGUGGCGAAGGCGACUCUCUGGACUGUAACUGACGCUGAGGCGCGAAAGCGUGGGGAGCAAA